rnacentral:sRNA from 1 species
UUUUAUAUGUCGUGUAAGCAUUCAUCUCUAAUUAUAAUUAUACAUAUAUAUAUAUAUAUAUAUAUGCUUGAAUGUUAUAUAUAUGAAAAUUGAUCAACUUUCUCCAUCUUUCCGCCACGUUAGCAAUGGAAAGAAUGCUACUUGUCAUAUCAACAUAUUACAUUUAUUGUUUAAUUUAAUUUAUUUAAGAAUUUUUUAAAUCAUGCAUUAAUUCUUAUUUAAAUAAAAAUUUGACAUGUUUUAACUUAU